CCAAUAAUCAAAUGUUGUGGCACAUAUUAUACCAUUGAACUACAAAUAAGUUCUCCGAUAGCCUGAGACCGUGAGGAGCUCAUGGGGUGACGUCUCAAGAACUCAUCUGGUGGUGGUCAAAAUAGCUCCUCCCCACCCAAUUAUCUCAAUUAUCUGCAUCUGCCCUCCUUUCUUUUCUGGGUUUUGGCCAAAAUCUUCUCUCUCUCACACACGGGCUUCUGAGGUAGACAAUGGCGGAGAUGUGGAAGAAAACAGUGCUGCUUGUAAUAGACAUGCAGAAAGAUUUCAUUGCUGAAGGUAGCUCGGUACAAGUACUUGGAGGCCCCGCUAUUGUCCCUGCUGUUAUCAAAGCCGUGGAAAUGUCCAGACACCGUGGCAUGCUUGUUGUUUGGGUUGUCCGAGAACAUGAUCCAUUGGGAAGAGACGUUGAACUCUACAGCCAACGUAUGUACGGUACCGGGAAGACUGGGCCUCUUGUCAAGGGCAGUGUUGGAGGAGAACUGGUUGAUGGCCUUGAAAUCCAUGAAGGGGAAUACAAAUUGGUGAAGACCCGUUUCAGUGCGUUCUUCGCUACCCACCUCCAUUACUUUCUUCAACGCGCUGGGAUCAAUAGGGUUGUUGUUGUUGGUGUUCAAACCCCUAAUUGUAUUAGGCAGACUGUGUUCGAUGCUGUUGAAUUGGAUUACGAAUCCGUGACUGUCAUUGUUGAUGCCACAGCCGCAGCUACACCUGAAGUACAUAAUGUGGUAGGGUGGCACAGCUGAUUCAGAUUUCUGGGGUAGCAAUUUUGUUGGCAAAUGCUAUUUCCCUUUUAGGAUGUAAAAGUGGAAGAUGUGAUCUUAAAAAUGAUUCCCCUGUCCUCGCUUCUUGCUUUUGAGUUCCUUAUUGUCCAGUGGAAGAAUUUGGAUAAUCAAUGUUUGCAACCAGGUCUUUGGAGAAGCUAUUUUCUCAACCAAGCAAAUAUUUUCGACAUGAAAAACAUCGGAGUUGUAACACCAACAUUACAGGAGUGGUGCAAGUAGAGUGCUCAACUUGGCCUGGAUUCAUCAAUCGGUCAACCCCGAGUUCCUCCACUACUUCCAUAAUGCCCAUUUGUGAAAAUAUCCAAAAGCAGGGUUUGCUACUUGCUCUGCUUGAAGGGAUGGAUUGUACUAAAUUGUUCAUGAAUGGGUGUUGAUUGUGUACACUAGGUUAUUUCUUAUAUGCUUGAUCUAUUUGUAAUUUUGACCGAAGAAAAAUAAAAUAAAAUAAAGGAUCUUACUGAA